GACGAACGCUGGCGGCGUGCUUAACACAUGCAAGUCGAACGAAGUGGCGAACGGGUGAGUAACGCGUAAUCAAGCUGCCCUUCAGAGGGGGACAACAGUUGGAAACUACUGCUAAUACCGCAUACUGAAGGUGGGGAUUGUGGCUGAUUAGGUAGUUGGAGGGGUAACGGCCCCCCAAGGCGAUGAUCAGUAGCCGGUCUGAGAGGAUGAACGGCCACAUUGGGAAUGAGACACGGCCCAGACUCCUACGGGGAGCAGCAGUGGGGAAUCUUCCGAAAUGGACGAAAGUCUGACGGAGCAACGCCGGGUGAGUGAUGACGGCCUUCGGGUUGUAAAGCUCUGUUAAUCGGGACGCGGUACCGGAAUAGAAAGCCACGGCUAACUACGUGCCAGCAGCCGCGGUAAUUC
rnacentral:rRNA from 1 species